UACAGAGGUCCCAAGCGUUGUUCGGAUUCAUUGGGCGUAAAGGGUGCGUAGGCGGCGCGGGAAGUCGGAUGUGAAAUCUCGGAGCUUAACUCCGAAACUGCAUUCGAUACUGCCGUGAUUGAGGACUGGAGAGGAGACUGGAAUUUACGGUGUAGCGGUGAAAUGCGCAGAUAUCAGGAGGAACACCAGUGGCGAAGGCGGUGCUCUGGGCCGGAACUGACGCUGAGGAGCGAAAGCGUGGGGAGCAAACAGG
rnacentral:rRNA from 1 species